UAGGGAAUCUUCGGCAAUGGACGAAAGUCUGACCGAGCAACGCCGCGUGAGUGAAGAAGGUUUUCGGAUCGUAAAACUCUGUUGUUAGAGAAGAACAAGGAUGAGAGUAGAAUGUUCAUCCCUUGACGGUAUCUAACCAGAAAGCCACGGCUAACUACGUGCCAGCAGCCGCGGUAAUACGUAGGUGGCAAGCGUUGUCCGGAUUUAUUGGGCGUAAAGCGAGCGCAGGCGGUUUCUUAAGUCUGAUGUGAAAGCCCCCGGCUCAACCGGGGAGGGUCAUUGGAAACUGGGAAACUUGAGUGCAGAAGAGGAGAGUGGAAUUCCAUGUGUAGCGGUGAAAUGCGUAGAUAUAUGGAGGAACACCAGUGGCGGAGGCGGCUCUCUGGUCUGUAACUGACGCUGAGGCUCGAAAGCGUGGGGAGCAAACAGG
rnacentral:rRNA from 1 species